rfam:Myotis lucifugus cont2.33193, whole genome shotgun sequence.
GUCCGUUCUUGGGUGACAUACCCUGGAAUUGGGCUCCCUCCUCUCUGGUUCUGGGUGUGUCACCUGAGAACUGCC